rnacentral:rRNA from 1 species
CAGCCGCCACGGUAACACGUAGGUGGCAAGCGUUGUCCGGAAUUAUUGGGCGUAAAGGGCUCGCAGGCGGUUUCUUAAGUCUGAUGUGAAAGCCCCCGGCUCAACCGGGGAGGGUCAUUGGAAACUGGGAAACUUGAGUGCAGAAGAGGAGAGUGGAAUUCCGCGUGUAGCGGUGAAAUGCGUAGAGAUGUGGAGGAACACCAGUGGCGAAGGCGACUCUCUGGUCUGUAACUGACGCUGAGGAGCGAAAGCGUGGGGAGCGAACAGGAUUAGAUACCCCGGUAGUCCCUGUCUCUUAUAC